AUACCAUUAUUGUAAGAAAAGAUUCAACAAAGAAUAUAGAUCUACUCAUCAAUAUUCGUAUCUUCCUCGAUGUAUAGGUCCUCCUUCGAAUCACAAUAAUCGACUAAUGUAUCGUCUUCUAUCUCAUCGUCAUUUAUAAACUGAUCGUCGUCCUCUGACAAGAUUAAAUACAAAAUCAGCUUCAACUUCAUUGGGUGGCAGAUCAGCCCUAUUCAAAGGAGUUGUUACAAAUUUUUCAUUAACAAGAAGCUCGGCUAAUAUUUGUUCUUCCUUUUGAAAAGUUCUCUUUAUGUAAAUCUAAAUUUUCAUCCAUCUCUAGUUGGGUUGGUAUGUCAUAUAUGCCUCUAGUUGUUAUUCUUUCUAUGACAUACCAAUUACCUCGAUACUUUAGAUCCUUCAAAUAUAUUAC
rnacentral:lncRNA from 1 species